UACGAAGGGGGCUAGCGUUGUUCGGAAUCACUGGGCGUAAAGGGCGCGUAGGCGGCUUUUUAAGGGUGCGGUGAAAGCCCGGGGCUUAACCCCGGGUCGGCCGUGCCGACUGAAAAGCUGGAGCACUGUAGAGGCAGGUGGAAUUCCGGGUGUAGCGGUGGAAUGCGUAGAGAUCCGGAAGAACACCAGUGGCGAAGGCGGCUCACUGGUCCGGUACUGACGCUGAGGUGCGAAAGCGUGGGGAGCAAACAGG
rnacentral:rRNA from 1 species